GACGAACGCUGGCGGCAUGCCUAACACAUGCAAGUCUAGGGGUAGCAAUACCACUGGCGCACGGGUGAGUAACACGUAGGUUAUCUGCCCCCAUCACAGACAUAACCCGGGAAACCCGGGGACGUAAUAAUCUGAUGAGGUCGCGAGAUCAAAGACUUCGGCGGGAUGGGGAGUGAGCCUGCGGCUGAUUAGCUAGUUGGUGAGGUAAUGGCUCACCAAGGCGACGAUCAGUAGCUGGUCUGAGAGGACGAACAGCCACACUGGAACUGAGACACGGUCCAGACUCCUACGGGAGGCAGCAGUGAGGAAUAUUGGUCAAUGGGAGCAAUCCUGAACCAGCAAUGCCGCGUGUGGGAGUGAC
rnacentral:rRNA from 1 species